rnacentral:misc_RNA from 1 species
GAGGACUCGCACGCAGAGUCUUAGGUCUUAAGUUUUCUCUUUCUUCUUUACUCUAAAUCUUUCUUAUUAUUAUUCUUUUAUGAUUUUUAUACCAAGAAAAUAUGGACUGCCUUGUAAGGUAGAAUAGGAAAUCAAGAAGCUGUACUCCUCUUCUUUCCGUCCUUUCUGGCUAAAAUUACUUGGGUUUUUGUUCUCUUGAAUUUUUGUUUAAUUUUCAAACAGGCCCAACGAAUUCUGUGUUUUUGACAUCAAAUUUUGUUUUUUUGUUUAAUUUCUUUUAUUAUUUAUUUAUUAUUAUUAUUU